rnacentral:rRNA from 1 species
GGAUUAGGCAUGCAAGUCGAACGAGAAAGCUUCCUUCGGGAAGUGAUUAAAGUGGCGAAAGGGUGAGUAAUGUAUGGAUGACUUACCCUCGAGACGGGGACAACAGCUCGAAAGGGCUGCUAAUACCCGAUAGUUCCUGUUGCCCAAGGGCUUCAGGAUAAAUGGUGCUUCCGCUUUGGGAGAAGUCGAUGGCCUAUCAGCUUGUUGGUGGGGUAAUGGCCCACCAAGGCGUAGACGGGUAGCCGGACUGAGAGGUUGACCGGCCUCACUGGGACUGAGACACUGCCCAGACUCCUACGGGAGGCUGCAGUCGAGAAUCAUCCGCAAUGGGCGAAAGCCUGACGGUGCGACGCCGCGUGUAGGAAGAAGGCCCUCGGGUUGUAAACUACUGUCACACGUUAUGACUGGAGUUAAUAGCUCCAGUCCUGACAAAAGCGUGGAAGGAAGUCACGGCUAACUUCGUGCCAGCAGCCGCGGUAAUACGAAGGUGGCAAACGUUGCUCGAAAUUACUGGGCAUAAAGCGCGCGUAGGUGGCGCGGCAAGCGGGGAAUGAAAUCCCAGGGCUCACCCCUGGAACUGUUCCCCGAACUGCCGUGCUUGAGGAUGGGAGGGGAGAGUGGAAUUCCUGGUGUAGCGGUGAAAUGCGUAGAUAUCAGGAGGAACACCCGUGGCGAAGGCGACUCUCUAUCUCGUUUCUGACGCUGAGGUGCGAAAGCUAGGGUAGCGAACGGGAUUAGAUACCCCGGUAGUCCUAGCCGUAAACGAUGAGUACUAGGUAGGGGGAGUUCUGACACUUUCCCUGCUGGAGCUAAUGUUUUAAGUACUCCGCCUGGGGAGUAUGGUCGCAAGGCUAAAACUCAAAGAAAUUGACGGGGGCCUGCACAAGCGGUGGAGCAUGUGGUUUAAUUCGAAGCAACGCGAAGAACCUUACCCAGACUUGACAUGUAGGGAUUAACCUUCUGAAAGGAAGGGAUUGCCUUCGGGUGUAACCUACACAGGUGUUGCAUGGCUGUCGUCAGCUCGUGUCGUGAGAUGUCGGGUUAAGUCCCUCAACGAGCGAAACCCUUAUCUUUAGUUGCCAGCGGGUCAUGCCGGGGACUCUAGAGAGACUGCCGUUGUGAAAACGGAGGAAGGUGGGGACGACGUCAAGUCAUCAUGGCCUUUAUGUCCGGGGCUACACACGUGCUACAAUGGCUGGUACAAAGGGAAGCGAAACCGCGAGGUCAAGCAAAACCCACAAAGCCGACCCCAGUUCGGAUUGGAGGCUGCAAUUCGCCCGCAUGAAGUCGGAAUCGCUAGUAAUCGCGGAUCGGCUACGCCGCGGUGAAUAUGUUCCUGAGCCUUGUACACACCGCCCGUCAAGCCACGAAAGUUGACAGUACCUUAAGUCGUGUACCUAACUCGAACCUUCGGGAACGGGAGGGCGGCGCCCACGGUAAGGUCGAUGAUUGGGACUAAGUCGUAACAAGGUAGCCGUAGGGGAACCUGUGGCUGGAUCACCUCCUUU